AGAGUUUGAUCAUGGCUCAGAAUCAACGCUGGCGGCGCGCUUAACACAUGCAAGUCGAACGGGAAAGUGGGCAACCAUGAGUACAGUGGCGUACGGGUGAGUAACACGUGGGUAAUCUACCUCUUAGUGGGGAAUAACCUUGGGAAACCGAGGCUAAUACCGCAUAAGCUCGAGAGAGGAAAGCAGCAAUGCGCUGAGAGAGGAGCCCGCGGCCGAUUAGCUAGUUGGCAGGGUAAAAGCCUACCAAGGCAGAGAUCGGUAGCCGGCCUGAGAGGGCACACGGCCACACUGGCACUGAAACACGGGCCAGACUCCUACGGGAGGCAGCAGUGGGGAAUCUUGCACAAUGGGGGCAACCCUGAUGCAGCGACGCCGCGUGAGCGAUGAAGCCCUUCGGGGUGUAAAGCUCUUUCGGCAGGGAAGAUUAUGACGGUACCUGCAGAAGCAGCUGCGGCUAACUACGUGCCAGCAGCCGCGGUAAUACGUAGGCAGCGAGCGUUGUUCGGAGUUACUGGGCGUAAAGGGUGUGUAGGCGGCCUUCUAAGUUUGGUGUGAAAUCUCCCGGCUUAACCGGGAGGGUGCGCCGAAUACUGAAGGGCUAGAGUGCGGGAGAGGAGAGUGGAAUUCCUGGUGUAGCGGUGAAAUGCGUAGAUAUCAGGAGGAACACCGGUGGUGUAGACGGCUCUCUGGACCGUAACUGACGCUGAGACACGAAAGCGUGGGUAGCAAACAGGAUUAGAUACCCUGGUAGUCCACGCCCUAAACGAUGCAUAUUUGGUGUGGGUCAUUCAGUUGAUCCGUGCCGGAGCUAACGCGUUAAAUAUGCCGCCUGGGGAGUACAGUCGCAAGGCUGAAACUCAAAGGAAUUGACGGGGGCCCCGCACAAGCGGUGGAGCAUG
rnacentral:rRNA from 1 species